rnacentral:rRNA from 1 species
UACGUAGGUGGCAAGCGUUAUCCGGAAUUAUUGGGCGUAAAGAGCGCGCAGGUGGUUGAUUAAGUCUGAUGUGAAAGCCCACGGCUUAACCGUGGAGGGUCAUUGGAAACUGGUCGACUUGAGUGCAGAAGAGGGAAGUGGAAUUCCAUGUGUAGCGGUGAAAUGCGUAGAGAUAUGGAGGAACACCAGUGGCGAUGGCGGCUUCCUGGUCUGUAACUGACACUGAGGCGCGAAAGCGUGGGGAGCAAACAGGAUUAGA